CCGCGAGGGAAGCCACAGUUCUUCUGGUUACUACAAGAAGAUAGUAUUCUGACCCUCAAUUCUCUGUUUAUCAAAGAGCGGGUCCCAGGCUCCAAGCCCUAGUAACCAGCACAAUGUCAGACCCUUUUUCAUCCUGGCUCAAUACACUGUUGAAUGAUAAAGGGUAGGAAAAAAAAAUCAGAAGAGGAGAGAGGAAGAAGGAAAGAUAAAAAAGAAGUUGGAAGAAGUCUGGGUGAAGAUGCUUUAAUCUCUAGUAAAAGAACUCUAGGGGCUCCUGGAUGGCUCAGUCAUUAAGCAUCUGUCUUCAGCUCAGGUCAUGAUCCCCAGGUCCUGGG